rnacentral:misc_RNA from 1 species
AAGCAAUAAAGUAGACAGUUCCUUUCUGGAUAUUAUGUUCAGAGAUGGAAGAGGGGAGGACACGUAAAAACCAGUUAGUCUUUUUUCUAUCAUCUCCUAUUGUGAACGCCUAAACAGUAAUCAAGUCAACGUUAUCAACACAACAUAAGACUAUUUGGAAUUAAUUUUCCCAACCAAAAAACUCCAUAAAGGGUCCAAAAUGGGUUUAGAUGUGAUAGAAACCAAG